rnacentral:rRNA from 1 species
ACGAAAGUCUGACGGAGCAACGCCGCGUGAGUGAAGAAGGUUUUCGGAUCGUAAAACUCUGUUUUCAGGGACGAAUGUGCAGAUUGUAAAUAAUGAUUUGUAAUGACGGUACCUGAGUAGAAAGCCACGGCUAACUACGUGCCAGCAGCCGCGGUAAUACGUAGGUGGCAAGCGUUGUCCGGAAUUAUUGGGCGUAAAGCGCGCGCAGGUGGGAUAUUAAGUCUGGUGUUAAAGUUCGGGGCUCAACCCCGUGAAGCAUUUGGAAACUGAUAUUCUUGAGUGCAGGAGAGGAAAGUGGAAUUCCUAGUGUAGCGGUGAAAUGCGUAGAUAUUAGGAGGAACACCAGUGGCGAAGGCGACUUUCUGGACUGUGUCUGACACUGAGGCGCGAAAGCCAGGGUAGUGAACGGGAUUAGAUACCCCGGUAAUCCUGGCCGUAAACGAUGGGUACUAGGUGUUGGGGGUAUCGACCCCUCCAGUGCCGGAGUUAACGCAAUAAGUACCCCGCCUGGGGAGUACGGCCGCAAGGUUG